GACGAAGGGGGCUAGCGUUGUUCGGAAUUACUGGGCGUAAAGCGAGUGUAGGUGGUUGUCCAAGUUGGAUGUGAAAGCCUUGAGCUCAACUCCAAGAAAAUGCAUUCAGGACUGGGCGGCUAGAGGACCGGAGAGGAUAGUGGAAUUCCCAGUGUAGUGGUGAAAUACGUAGAGAUUGGGAAGAACACCAGUGGCGAAGGCGGCUAUCUGGACGGUUUCGUGACACUAAGACUCGAAAGCGUGGGGAGCAAACAGGG
rnacentral:rRNA from 1 species